rnacentral:rRNA from 1 species
CAGUAUUUUGACUGUGCAUUGGUAGGAUAAUCAUUAGCCUUUUAAUUGAAGGCUUGCAUGAAUGGUUGGACGAGGUAUUAACUGUUUCAUAUAAAUUUAUAAUAAAAUUUUAUAUUUUAGUAAAAAAGCUAAAAUUUAAUUAAAAGACGAGAAGACCCUAUAAAUCUUUAUAUUUAAAUUUUAAUUUAAUUUUUUAAAUUAGUUUAAUUAAAUUUAAUUUAAUUAUUUUAUUGGGGUGAUAUUAAAAUUUAUAAAACUUUUAAUUUUAAAUAUACAUUAAUUUAUGAUUUGUUGAUCUAUUAUUAAUGAUUAAAAGAAUAAGUUACUUUAGGGAUAACAGCGUAAUUUUUUUGGAGAGUUCUUAUUAAUAAAAAAGUUUGCGACCUCGAUGUUGGAUUAAGAAAUAAAUUUAGGUGUAGAAGCUUAAAAAUUAAGUCUGUUCGACUUUUAAAUUCUUACAUGAUCUGAGUUCAAACCGGCGUAAGCCAGGUUGGUUUCUAUCUUUAAUUUUUUAUAAUAUUUUAGUACGAAAGGACCAAAUAUUAAAUUUAUAAAAAUUUAAUUUUUGAAAAUAAUUAAAUU